UCACAGGUGAUUGCAAAAUGUUGAAAUUCUCAUUUGUCAUUUGUUAUGGGCUGAAUGUUUGUGUCCCCCCCCGCCAAAUUCAUAUGUUGAAACCCUAUUGCUCAAUGUGAUGGUAUUAGAAGGUUGGGUCUUUGGGAGGUAAUUAGGAUUAGAUGCAGUCAUAAGGGUGAAGCCCUCAUGCAUAGAACUAUAAGAGUCACAAGAGGGUUUGCUUCCUCUCUCUGCUCUUUUCACCAUGUGAUGAUACAAAGAGAAGUCAACUCUCUGCAACCCAGAAGGGGGCCCUCACCAAAACCUGACUGCCGGCACCCUGAUCUCAGACUUCCAGCCUCCAGAACUGUGAGAAAUAAAUGUUUGUUGUUUAAACCACUCAGUCUAAGGCAAGGACAACAAAAGCAAAAAUAAACAAAUGGGACCAAAUCAAACUAAAAAGCUUCUGCACAGUGAAGGAAACCUUCAACAAAAUGAAAAGGCAACCUGCUGAAUGGGAGAAGAUACUUACAAAUGAUAUGUCCCAUAGGGGUUAAUAUCCAAAAUACAGGAAAAACUCAGACAGUAACUCAAUAUCAAAAAGCCAAAAAUCCAAUUAAGAAAUGGGCAGAGGCCCUGAAUUGGCAUUUUCCCAAAGACAUACAGAUGGCCAACAGGUAUAGGAAAAAGUGCUCAACAUCAUUAACCAUCAGAGAAAUGCAAAUCAAAACCACAAUGAGAGAGCUUCCCUGCUGGCGCAGUGGUUAAGAAUCUGCCUGUCAAUGCAGGGGACACGGCUUCGAGCCCUGGUCUGGGAAGAUCCCACAUGCCGCAGAGCAACUAAGCCCGUGCGCCACAACUAAUGAGCCUGUGCUCUAGAGCCCACGAGCCACAACUACUGAGCCAGCAUGCCACAACUACUGAAGCCCGCACGCCUGGAGCCUGUGCUCUGCAACAAGAGAAGCCACCACAAUGAGAAGCCUGCGCACCGCAAGGGGAAGAGUAGCCCCUGCUCGCUGCAAUUAGAGAAAGCCUGCUGGCAGCAACGAAGGCCCAGUGCAGCCAAAAAUAAAAUAAAUUAAAAAGAAAUAAAUUUAUUAAAAAGAAAAACCACAAUGAGGUAUCACUUCACACCUGUCAGAAUAGUUAUCAUCAAAAAGACAAAAAAUAACAAGUGUUGGCAAAGAUGUGAAGAAAAGGGACCCCUCAUGCCCUGUUGAAGAGAAUGUAAACUGGUGCAGCCACUAUGGAAAACAGUAUGGAGAUUACUCAAAAAAUUAACAAUUAGGGACUCUCCUCAUGGUCCAGUGGUUAAGACUCCUUGCUCCCAAUGCAGGGGCCUGGGUUCGAUCCCUAGUCAGGGAACUAGAUCCUACAUGCCACAACUAAAAAGAUCCCACAUGCUGCAAGGAAGAUCCCGCCUGCCGCAACUAAGACCCAACGUGGCCAAAUAAAUAAAUUUUUUUUUUUAAUUAACAAUUGAACUACCAUACAUCCUGAAAUUCCACCUCUGGGUAUUUAUCUGAAUAAAAUGAAAAUAUAUAUGCA